rnacentral:sRNA from 1 species
GGGUUGCCAUUACUGUUUACCUGUGGCACAUGUCGUGAUUUGGGAUGUGUGAACAUGUGUUUGGAAGUUAAUUGGAGUUAACUGAGAGCGUGUGUUGAUAGUAAUUAAUCGGCAUGUAUUGUACACGCAGAGAACGACCUAGGCGAUCGAAGUUAAUUGUUUAAUAGAUAAAGAACGAAUGAAGCAACUGACCAUGCUGACAGCACCGAUCGCUUGUAAAUCACUAAAUGUUUCCGAGUGAUGCGUUAACCAUGGUGGCUACAGCGAAUGGCAUACAUGUAAAUGCAUCCACGCUUCAGGUCGAUCAGAAGUCGGAAUGCAAACGUUUUGCAUCGGAAAAAAUCUUUUAAAGAUGAAGGCCAUUGUCCAAAGAAAGAGAGCAUAUGUUUCCUGGCUGCAGAUUCUUUUACCAUGGACCUGAAUUUUAAGCACACUUGUUGAAAGUUUUACAUUUGUUGUUAAAGAAUAAACUUUUUUGUUUUAUAUUUGUUAGUUUGUUUGGAUAUAUUGAAUAAAUUCUUAUAACAUAC